rnacentral:pre_miRNA from 1 species
AUAGUACUCCCUCCGUUCGGAAUUACUUGUCGUAGAAAUGGAUGUAUCUAGACAUUUUUUAGUUCUAGAUACAUCCAUUUCCGCGACAAGUAAUUCGGAACGGAGGAAGUAUCAG